rnacentral:tRNA from 3 species
GGAGACGUGCCGGAGCGGCCGAACGGACUUCACUGCUAAUGAAGGGUUCUUGUUAAAGGGAACCGGGGGUUCAAAUCCCCCCGUCUCCGCCA